UUGAAAAGGUGGAUUUAUGGAUUUUGUAAAAUAAAAGAUUUUCUACCCCUCGUGGUAGCGUUUUUAAAAGAAUAAAGGUUUCUGUGUAGGAAACAGUUUUCAAAAGAUUUUUGUGGAUUUCUGUUUAAACCUUGAAUGUAAAACUGUGAUGUGAAUGGUGAAUGUAUGAAUGUAUAAUUAUCUUUAUAUUCAUCUGGUUGUGGUUGUAUCCUGGUUGUACUGUGUAUUUGGUCGACGUCGUGCAAAUACAGGGGAGACUCUGUCCGUGUGAACAGUGGAUUCCCUGUAUUUGUGGCGGAUCUGGCAUACUCUGGGGUCAGGUUUUCAAAAAAAAAAAAAAAACUCAGACGCUUUUCCGCUUUGUUUUAAACUGAAAAGGGACCCCGGGGCGUGACAAUUUGAUUGUGGUUGUUUACUGUUUGUACUUUUGUACUUGUGUGACGCCGUGCAAGUAUAGGGGAGACUCUGUCCGUGUGAACAGUGGAUUCCCUGUAUUUGUGGCGGAUCUGGCAUACUCUGGGGUCAGGUUUUCAAAAAAAAAAAAAAAUUCAAACGCUUUUCCGCUGUGUUU
rnacentral:lncRNA from 1 species